rnacentral:rRNA from 1 species
GGCUCAGGAUGAACGCUAGCGGCAGGCUUAAUACAUGCAAGUCAGGGGCAGCAUGACUGUAGCAAUACAGUUGAUGGCGACCGGCAAACGGGUGCGGAACACGUACAGAACCUUCCUUCGAGCGGGGAACUAGCCCAGAGAAAUUUGGAUUAAUACCCCAUAGUACAUUAGAGUGGCAUCACUUUGAUGUUAAAGAUUUAUCACUUGAAGAUGGCUGUGCGGCUGAUUAGGUAGUGCGGGUACGGCCACAGCCUGCGAUCAGUAACUGGUGUGAGAGCACGACCAGUCACACGGGCACUGAGACACGGGCCCGACUCCUACGGGAGGCAGCAGUAAGGAAUAUUGGUCAAUGGACGAAAGUCUGAACCAGCCAUGCCGCGUGGAGGAUGAAGGUCCUCUGGAUUGUAAACUUCUUUUAUAUGGGACGAAAAAAGGGUUUUCUAACUCGUCUGACGGUACCAUAUGAAUAAGCACCGGCUAACUCCGUG